rnacentral:rRNA from 1 species
UGGGGAAUAUUGGGCAAUGGACGCAAGUCUGACCCAGCAACGCCGCGUGAAGGAAGAAGGCUUUCGGGUUGUAAACUUCUUUUAAGAGGGAACAGCAGAAGAGGGUACCUCUUGAAUAAGCCACGGCUAACUACGUGCCAGCAGCCGCGGUAAUACGUAGGUGGCAAGCGUUGUCCGGAUUUACUGGGUGUAAAGGGCGUGCAGCCGGGUCUGCAAGUCAGAUGUGAAAUCCGUGGGCUCAACCCACGAACUGCAUUUGAAACUGUGGAUCUUGAGUAUCGGAGAGGUA